CUGCAGGGACAAAAAGUCAAAAAAGCCAAGAUCAAUUCCCCUGAUGCGCGAACCUUGUUGGACGAGACCUGCAAUCCUCCUCCACCCACCCCCCGCCUUCAUCCUAGGGUCCAUUCCAUCCCCCUGACCUUAAGGCUAUCGUAGAUGAUUCGCCGUUGGGAAAUCCACUUUCAUCCCCCGCCAUUCUUCGAUUCAUCGACCAAGCCCUCGUUCUUGAUGUCGAGAGCUCCCUGAAGAUGAGCGCUUUGUGGUUUUCCGACGGGAAUUGAGGUACUGUAUAGCAUAGGGUUUUAAGGAGACGAUCAUGGCGUCGGAGGAGCUGGAUUUGGUCCAGUCCCGGCGAGCGGAGCACGGGUUGGGCUCGCGCAUGGUGUUCCAAGGCGAGGCCUUUCCCUUCUCCCGCGGCGACGGAGACCAUGCGGGCGCGCGGAAGCCGACGGCCCUUGGCGCCCCCACGCCCGGAUUCGCCGUCGUUGGCGAUAAGAUGUUCCCCAGUGAUCGAGACCCGCGAUUCUUUUCGAACCAGGCCUGGGGUGCCGUGAGGGACGGGGGUUCGCCCAGUGGUGACGGAUCGGACGGGGAAGAAGAAGACGACGGCGAGGAUGACAGCGACGACGGUGACGAGGAUGUCGAUGAGGGGGAUGGCUUGGUGUCAGUGGAGGACGGCAAUAACAAGGCUAACAACAAUAGCAGCGGUAGCGUACAGAGUAGUUCGGAGAAAAUUCAGGACGCCAGCGCAAAAUCACAGGAGCAUCAAUCGUCUUCUGGGUUGAUGAGAGGAGUGGUGGAGAAGGAUGGGAGUGAAGGAAGAGGCAAUUUGGGGGAGCAGCAAUGCCAGCAGGAUCGGAUGGAUAACUACGAGAAUGCUAUUGCUGUCAUGGAUCCUGAACCGUAUUACACCCAUGCAAUACAUGGGGGAGAGGGAUCAACUUCUUCCCAGAAGGAGGUUGCAGGAGAGAAUGGAUGUGGGUUCAGUGGUAGAAGGGAGAUCGGGUCAACAGCUGGUUACUGGGAGUCCUUGAGGAUGCACCUCUCGGAUCCAAUAACAGGUGCUCUCAUGGAUGAUGCAAUGAUAUUAUCAUGCGGACAUUCUUUUGGUAGCAGUGGAAUGCAGCGUGUUUAUAGAAUGGAAGCUUGUUACACAUGUGCUCAACCAAUUUCAGAAGAUUCAGUCCAACCAAACUUGGCUCUUCGAUCUGCAGUUCAGGCUUUCCGCCGGGAAGAAGAGUCCCAGUCUUCAAAAGCAUCCAAAAGAAGAAGAGAUAGGUUUGAACAAGACAAAUGUAGUUAUGAUGAUCCUUUUCGCAUGGAUUUUUCUCGGGGUAAAGGUGUUCAGUUUCCGUUCUCGGUUUCUGAUCGGGUUAUAAUCAAGGGUAACAAGAGGACACCAGAACGAUAUGUUGGACGUGUUGCAGUUGUGACAACACAGUGCUUAAAUGGAUGGUAUGUGGUGAAGACAUUGGAUAAUGCGGAGAGUGUCAAACUUCAGUACCGUUCUUUAUCCAAGGUUACGGAUGGUCAAGUCUCAAAUAUGAUCUCAGAUAAAGCUCAUGCUCCAAAUUGGCUAUAAGGCCACGAUGCGCAGAUGGAGGAGUGAUGCAAAUUUGAACCGUUGCUCAGAAAUUCUAAAGCCAUAUCUGUUUAGCUGACAGAUUGGAAGAGACUAACUGGUAUCGGCUCAAGUGGCCACUGCCUGAAGAAGAGUGUCCCAUCGGCUGUAUUGCAAGAUAGAACCAUGUUAACUGUGGCAAACUGGUUCUCCAUACCCAUACAAAUGGAUGGCAUUCAUGAUGCAGUAUUCGGAACUCGAAGCAUUUUUUUUAAGCAAAAUUUUGUCGAGAUUGGUUGAGGACUGAGGACUUCUCCGGAUUAGAAAUUCCAUUUGAAGCUGGAGAUUAGCAAGAGAAAUAUUAGUUGCAUACCAACAUUUCACUGCAUCUUUUAAACUAGAAUAUGUUAACAGAUCUUUUUGAUUUCAAGCAUAUUAAGUUCUAUACCCAAUAAAACAUAUA